UUUUUUGUCCUUUAAUUAAUUGGAUGAGAUACCAUACCACACCAAAACAAAACAAAUUAGUCAACUAGCUAGUAGUGGUGAGAAAAAGAAGUCAUUUUGUACUACUACUGCCCACAUGAUGCCACAGUACCCCAUUAUCUCCUUCCCUUUCUUUCUUCCCCUACAUCAUAUUUUCUCUAUCUGUCAAAAGUUUCGUUUCUUUAAUGGGGUUUUGUGUAUGUUCUGUCCACUGCAUGUAACAUCUUACUCAGAGAAAAGAAGUAAAAGAUCUUUUUCCUUUACUACUACUACUAGUAGUACUAGAGUUUAGGGUAUGGUGUAUUCCAACACAAUUCAGACACACAUAAAACCCUAAUGGCCGUGAUAGUAGUGGAUUCAGAAUUUAGACGCUCUGAGUUUAAGUCAGAAGAUAUGUUAUCUAGGUUUUUUUUUCUUCAUAAAAGGGGAUUGUGUUUUGGUUUUAGAUCUGAAUUUUAGCAUGAUAAUGUUUGUGGUUGGGUGUGAAGCAAAUACUAAGAGAAGGGGGGACAAGGAGAAUCAAGACUGACAGAAGAGAGUGAGCACACGCAGGCAAUUGUAUAGAGAUUAUAUUACUGUCAUUUGCGUGUGCUCACUUCUCUUGCUGUCAUCUCUCUCUAUACUUUUCCCCCAUUCUUUUUUGCUUUGCUUUGCUUCCACCACUCAAUCAGCCAACACUUGUUCAAACUGCAGGGGGCGGAUGCAGCGUAGGAUUGCUGGCUUCAACUGAACCAAUAUUUUUCAUGCGAAACAUAAAUUUAUAGGUAAAAUCUCUCAACUGAACUAUUAUUUUCGAUACGAAAUAUAAAUUUAUAGGUAAAAUCUCUCAACUAAAUCAGUACUUUCGAUGCGGAAUAUAAAUUUAUGGGUAAAAUUUCUCAAAACUAUAAAAGCUAGUAGAUAGUUUCAAUUCUAAAAAUGUUGGAGAUUGAACCGUAAAAUUUAAACUUUGAAUCCGCGGUAGGUUACGUAAGAUAAUUUAUUAUUGUUCUUUCUGAUCUUUAGCUAACAUAUAUACAUCUGUCUAAAGAAAACAGUAGCUAUAGCCUAUAGGAUUGAUGGACACGACAGUCAACAUUGCCACUGACAUAUUUGCUAUGUUGUUAACUUGUUAACCACAAAAAAUUACUGCACCAUAAUAAAAUUGACACUUAAGUCAGUUGACGUGUUCUUCUCUAGUUCUCUCUUUCUCUCUCUAUAUAUACUAUUAUUUCUACCAGUUUGUAUUUAUGUUCUCUUGGUGGGUUUUGGAGAUUAGACUGAAAGAAGCUGAAGUUUAUUAUAAAAAAAAAAUACUUAGUAGAAGAAGAAUCAGAACAGUUAUCAGAUCAGGUAAGAAUCUUAGACUUUUAGUAAUAAUUUUUACCAAUUAAAUAUUGUACUAAGCGUGUCUUUUCAUGAACUUAUUACUCCAUAUCUCUGAUGAAGAGGACGAAUGUUAGAUUUGGGAGGUACGCUUGUUACUGUUCUGUCUUAACGGAUAACUAAUUAUUUUUACGGCUUCAGUACAUUUAUUUGCAAAAAUCGAGAAAUUUAUUGAAAAAAAAUUUCACUUUUAUGAUUUUAACGGAAAACUUUCUUCUUUCUACCUUUUCUAGCUCAUUUAUAACUUCAUUGAUUUAUUUCUUGAUUUUGCUCUUGACAAUCUUGCUUUAUUUUUCCGGCUGUAUUUUUUUUUCCUUUUCUCUUUUCGUCUUAUUGAAACUAGGGUAUAUGGGAAACAGCCUCGGGUAGAGAUAGAGCCUUAGACGUCCGCGUAUACACUAGCCUUCCCAAAUUCUACUCGUGUGAUUUUACGGUCGGGUCGUUGUUGUUGUUGUUAUUGUAUUUUUCUUUUCUUGAGUGUGGUAAUCUAGGACUUAAAAAUGAGCAUAAAUUUCUCAGAUAAAAAGGAGGAAUCUUAAAAAUGUUUCUAUUCUUAAAGAUAUUCUUUUAAGUUGAUGAAUCCCGGAUUUGUUUUUUUGAGUAUGAAGGGAUUUGGUUAAAUUUAUGUGGGUUCUUGUUAAUAUUUUAUGUAGGUUUGUUGACAAGCUAAUCUCUCUUUAAUUUUGGUAAUGAUAUGCUUUUUAAUUUCAUAGUUGAGGCUAGGAAGAAAAUUAGUAAAGAUUAGAACUUUGAAUAUGACUCCUAUGUUUGAUAAGAUUUUGCUUCCUUUUCUGCGGAGGUAGGCUUCCAGUUUUUGGUAUGAAGUUUGGAGAAAAUUUUCCCAUGUACAGGUUAGAAUAUUACAUGAAUAAUGAGCUAUAAUUUUCACUUGUUUGUAUUUGAUUUAGUUCUUUUUGUUUGUAAAGAAUAUAAUUCAUUUUGUUCUUUGUUAACUGCAGUCCUUCGUUGUAAUUACACUUAAAUAUUCUAACCCUUUUUGAUAGCCACUAUUGCCUGCCGGUGGCGACAUCAAGCAGCUUUUUUCUCUUCUUUUGAUUAACAGGUAUUUGAUUUUAUCAUGCUUUUCUCUCUUCCGUUGUCUUAGUAAAUUUAAAAUCUCUCGGAAUCUAUGCAAAUCUAGUGAAAAAUAGGGUACAAUGAAAGAAAAAGAUCUGUACAACCAAUAUCAAUUUGCUGGGAUUUAUAUGUUUAGUUUAGGUUCAAUGCUUUCUUCAGUCUUUUAGUCUCGUCAGAGAAAAUGUGAGAACUUCUAGUACAUUUUGUUAUUAUUUUAUAUGAUAUUGGGAUUGGAUUUAACUUAAAUGGAGCGACAUGAAUUCAUCUAGUCGGUCCCUUUUUUGGUAUAAGCAUUGUGGUGGUGGUGGUGGUGGUGGUGGUGUAUGUUUUUCUUUCUUCUCUCACUGCUGCAAUUGGUGAAUUGUCUGAUAAAGGAAGUGGCUUUGCACCACUUGCAUGUCUAUGUUCUAUUUCUUGUUGAGAUGUAGUAAAUAUGGAGUUCUUUUUGGGAUCAGUUUAGUCCUAGUUUAUAUCAGCUGAAUGGAUAUGUUUGACACAAAUAUUUGACUUUGGGAUUGUAAACUUGAGCUAGUAAGGGUAGCUCGGUGCACAAAGUAUCCCGCAUUUAUGUAAAAUUCGGGGAAGGACCGCACCCCAAGGGGUGUUGUAGACAGUCUACCCUAAUGCAAGUAUUAUUAGCUGUGGAAUGCAAGUAUUAUUAGUUGCUUCCAUCGUAACCUAGAUCACACAAAGACAACUUUACCGUUGCUCCUAGGCUCCUCUUCAAAACUUGAGCUAGUACUUUCUUGAAUAGAUUUUAGUUGCAUACACUGACAGUGUAAGGUUAUACACUACUCUCACUGAAGUUUAGCCUAUUAUGUCAUGUUAGCAGAUUACCGACUAAUGUUUAUCGUAUAGUUCUAUUUGUAAUUAUCUUAUAAAUGACUUAAUUGUGGAAAUAUUUAUGUACGAGUGCAUAAGGGACUAAUUUACAAGUAUAAAAGGUCCAAAAGGAGACUGAGAACUUUUGCACUUGCUCUAAGUACAUGUUGCUCCAUCAUUUUUCAAAAAUUGUAUAAUGAAAAUUAUUUCACAUUUCUCUCAAGUGAUUGUGUGGCUUAAUCGAGUUUGUAUGUUGAAAAAGUAUAGAUACUGCAUGUAGACUUCCAAAAUUAUUUAGCAGAUUAUGGUCUUGCUGAAUUGAGUAAUUUAUGAGUUUCCUUUGAAAUUAACUGACAACCAUGUGUUUGAAAUUUGGUAUUGGGACAAUAUUUCUAGAAGUUUCUUGAGUCGCGGGUCUAUUGAAAACAGCCUCUCUAUCCCUAUAAGGUAGGGGUAAAGUCUGCGUACACACUACCCUCUCAGACCCCAUUUAUGGAAUUGCACUGGGUUUGUUGUUGUUGUUGGACAACAUCUCUAGAAAUUAGUAUCUUCAUCUUUGUGUUUCUUUAUUGGUAUAUUUUAUUUGUUUGUUUUAGUAGUAAUUGACUAUUAGCUGUGACUAUUGGGAGGGGUAAAUGGUGUUACUGUAGCUUGUGAUAGUAAAGUUGCUUAUUGUAAAAUCCCACAAGUGGGGUCUGGGGAGGGUAGUGUUUACGCAGACCUUACUCCUACCCCGAAGGAGUAGAAAGGCUGUUUCCGGAAGACUCUCGGCUCAAGAUAAUAAAAAGACACUAUGUUAGAUAUAGGCAUUUUGUGAGGACUUGGUGCAAUUUGUAUAGCAUCUUGGUGGAGGAAAUAGUGUUCGAACACUAUAUUUGAACAUGGUAGGAUGGUAACAACAACAACAACAAACCCAGUGUAAUCCCACAAGUAGGGUCUGGGAAAGGUAGUGUGUACUCACACCUUACCCUACCUUUAAGAACACUAUAUUUGGACGUGGUGUGAUGGUACAUCUAUAAAUUUCUAGUUGGGAAGUCCUUUAUGCCUAACUCAAUUUUCUUUAAUUUGACAGAGAAUUAACAACUAUGAGAUCUAGCAUUGUUUUCUCGCAACAAAAUUAAGGAAUUAAAAACACUUCGAAUAUAGGAAGCAGCUCAAGUGGGAUAUUUGUUAUACGUUUGAGUGUUAGAGGCUGUGAAUUCUAAUAAUGUUCUUCAGUACACAAUUUCUAUUGCGUUCUUUGCUAGUUGGACUUGGAUAAGUAUUCUCACUAGGUUAGCAAGAAUUUUGUAUUGCCAGAAAAAAAUGUUGAAUACUCUAUUAUAACGAUAUAAUUUUUCCCCUAUUGUUAUUGUUCAGAGACGAUUUACAUAACGGACCCCCAACUUAUUUUGGAUUGAGGCGCAGUUGUUGCAGUUUGCUGUUCUCCCCGCCCUAAUGUUAUUGGUAACUGAGCAGCUCUUGCUUGUACAUUGCAGUAUCUAAAGAUGAACUAUAGGCAUGCGAAGCAUUUCAUAUUAAUGAUAUAAUGAAAGGCAGCCCGAGCAAAGUGCACGAGGUUAUGCUGGCUUUAUGGAGGAAUUUUUGGUACGGUAAAGCUCAACCCCCCACCCCCCACCCACAAGAAGCUUAGCCAUGAUCCUUUUCUGCUUUGUUCCCUCAUUAAUACGAAUAUCGCUAGCUAGACUUUUACUCCCUUCUCGGCUUGUCUUUUAGACUUAUUGUGCAAAGAUUCAUGAUUUGAUCUUCUAACGUUUAGGUAGUAGUAGAGAAACUUCAAUUUAAUUAGCUCGUACUUGAAUUAGAAUUAUUAUCUUCUCUUUUGUCUAUGUGACAUUUAUCUGGAACUUGAAAUGUAAGUUUACUCCAUUUUACUGGAUUUCCAGAAACGUCUCUUGCAGUUCAUUUGAUAUACAAGAGUACAAUGCUUGAUAGCAUGAUGAUUCAUUUAGGGGUCGUUUGGUUGGGAAACAAGUUACCCCAGGAUUAAUUUUCCCGAGAUUGUUCUCCCACCCUCUUGAAGGGAAAAAUAUAUCUCAAAUUUAAUCCCGUCCCUUAUCCCUUGUACCAAACAAGCCCUUAGUUUCUUAAUUUCACUUAGGUGAAUCUAAUGAGAUGAUAAAUAUUUGACCACUUGUUGUCAAAGCCAGUGUAACAUUGAGAUGACUUGCAUUUUUAUUAUAAAUUGUUCUGUUAAUCCAUCAGUCAGCUAAACCUCACCCUUAGAAUAGCUAGUUGGUGGCACGUAUACAAAUCUUGGAUAUUGUUAAGAAAAUAGAACUUGGGUCUAAUUCAACUCCAAAAGUUAGCUCAGGAGGUGAGAUUGACCCAAUUAGAGCGCCAAUUGAUGUGGGCUGCUAUAAAAUCCCCUUGCACCCUAAUACAUGGAUAUUAGAGCGUGGUUAUAAUAUAGGGCACAAACAUUAGGAAACACAUCAACUGGACUGAGGCAUAGUUGUUGUUGUAGCUGUUCUCCUGUGCCUAAUGUUAUUGGUAACCAAGCAGCUCUUGCUUGUACAAUGCAGAAUCUAAAGAUGAACUAUUGGCAUGCCAAGCAUUUCAUAUUAAUGAUAAGAAGAAAAGCAGCCAGAGCAAAACGCACGAGGUUAUGCUGGCUUUAGGAGGAAUUUUUCGAUACGCUAAACCUCACUCGAUUUCUCCCCCUAAAUCCCUUACCUAGAAUAUUAGCGGUGACCCUUUUCUGCUUUGUUCCCUCGUUGAUAUGGAUGCUGCUAGGUUUUUCUCCCUUCUCGGCUUGUCUUUUAGGCUUGUUGUGCAAAGAUUCAUGAAUUGAUCUUCUAACAUUUAGGUAAUAGUAGAGCAAUUUCAAUUUAAUUAGCUCUUACUUGAAUUAGAAUUAUUAUCUUCUCUUUUGUCCAUGCGACAUUUUUCUGGAACUUGAAAUGUAAGUUUACACCAUUUCACUUGAUUUUAGAACUUGUCAUCAUGCAUUGCUAAAAUCUCUCCGCUCUAGCUAUUCAUACUUCUAGCAACGUCUCUCUUGCAGUUCAUUGAUGUACCAAGAUUACAAUGCUUGAUAGCAUGAUGAUUCGUUUAAUUUCUUAAUUUCACUUGGGUGAAUCUGAUGAGAUGAUAAAUGUCUGACCACUUGUUGUCAAGACCAGUGUAACAUUGAUGCGACUUGCAAAUUUUUGUAUAAAUUGUUAUGUUAAUCCAUCAAUCAAUUAAACGUCACCCCUAGAAUAGCUAGUUGGUGGCAUCUAUACAAAUCUUGGAUAUUGUUCGGUCUAGUUUAACCCCAAAUUAAGUUAGCUCAUGAGGUGAGAUUUACUUGAUUAGAUCAUAUAAGGAGACAAUAUCCCCUCCGUCGACCGAUGUGGAACAUGACGCUCAGACAUGGAUUAAUUAGAGUGUGGUUAAUAUAGGGCACAAACAUUAGGAAACACAUCAAGGGAUGGGCCUGGUGCUAAUACCAUGUUAAGAAAAUUGACCUUUAGUAUAUUGCAACUUCAAAAAGAUAGCUAAUGAGAUGAGAAUUGUCCAAAACUAUACGAGGAGACAACUCCUCAUUUCUUCAACCAAUGUGUGAUACUCUUAACAUAUAUCAAUAAAAUGAUAUUUGAUUAAUUAACAAAAAAAGUGGAAGGGAGCCUUGGCGUAACGGGUAUAGUUGCUGCCGUGUGACCUCGAGCCGUAGAAACAGCCUCUUGUAGAAAAUAUAGGGUAAGGCUGCGUACAAUAGACCAUUGUGGCCCGGUCCUUUACUGGACUCCCUGCACAACGAGAGCUUAGUGCACUGGGCUGCCCUUUUAACGAAAAAACUACUGUCGAUUUACUAACUUCAACUCUUGGAUUCCAAGAUUGUCUUCUCCAGUUGUUUCUAUUCCUUUUUUUUCUCCUCUAAAUUAUGCUCUACUUUUUACUGCUCUAGGAAGAUGCUGGCUACCCAUUUCCUUGGCUGAGCUUGGAGUUCUGUAAGCUGUAAGUUUGUUAAGCUUCAUUUACAAAGUUGUUACAGGAGUAUGCGUAAUUUAACAUUUAUCUGAAGUGACAAUUUUUAUCCAAAUAGCAUAAUAAAUUAAACUGCAAGAUAAGGCAUGUAAAGUUAUAUUGAAUAUAUAGUUAUAUUUAGUCCUUCAAAAUGCCAACUAAGGGCAGUCCGGUGUACUAAGCUCCCGCUAUGCGUGGGGUCCGGGUAAGGGUCGGACCACAAGGGUCUAUCGUACGCAGCCUUACCCUGCAUUUUUGCAAGAGGCUAUUUUCACGGCUCGAACCCGUGACCUCCUUCAAAAUGCCAAUUGUUUACUAAUAUUUGGCCAAAAGAUAAUACUCCUAUAAGUUUAUGCAAUCUCAUAAAUGAAAAACUUUUUUCUAUUCAAUACACUGUGUUCAUGAUUAAAUCUUCAGCCAACUGUUUCUAAUUCAUGUCUUGGUGCUUCCCAAUGGAGCUUUUUUGUAUUUUUUUUGAAUAUAUUUUUACGUCAUUGCCAUCGUUUCCUUAUCACAUGGUUCUAAAGCUUCUAGUAUUUUAAAGAAUUGGAUAAGCAAAACAUAAAACCAGUAAAAUGAUCAGCUGAUGAUAGGAUUGAAUGUACUAUAUAUUACGUGAUGGUAGUUUCUUCACUUCCUAGCAAAAUUGUGAAUUCAUAAUCUUUAUCUGAUUGUCUAAAAGCUAUUUCCAGUAAAGAAUAAAAUGCAUAAAAUAAUGGAAAAGAUUAAUAAUAGGCAUGCUGUGUAACCUUUGGAAGAACAUAUGCAGUGCAAAGUAUGGAGGAAAGUCAUCCUCCGUGGCCAGGGUCUUGUUCUCUAGUAACUCAGAUGUUUCAGCGAUGCUGAGAACCUGUUUCCCUCAUAUCACAUGGCCGUUCAACUGGAAUGAACUAAAACCGAUAGUUGAACAAAUUAAGAACCACACCUCUGUCAUUCAAGUCAUCUGGCAAAGACCUGAAACAAAUUUUGUGAAGGUCAAUAGUGAUGGGAGUGCUUUGAGUAAUCCAGGUAGAAUUGGGUUCGAGUCAUUGAGGGGAAGAGUGGGAAAAACCACUAUCGGUCUCUAGUGAGCGGGUAUACCAAAUCAAAAGGAAAAAAGAAGAAAUAAGUUAUUUGGGCCUUUUGGUGACUGGGGUUUACUAAAUUCCAUAUUGUCGAAAGAAAUAUAGUCCUAUUUCUAGUUUAUGUCAAGUCACUACGUAUAUCAAGUUUGCAAGGUGGGCUAUGUCAAGUCGUAACGUAGUCGAGUUUGGAAGGUGGGCUAUGUCAAGUCGCAACAUAUGUCAAGUUUGCAAGGUGGGCUAUGUCAAGUCGCAACGUAGUCAAGUUUGGAAGGUGGGCUAUGUCAAGUCGCAACGUAUGUCAAGUUUGUAAGGUGGGAUUUACCAAAUGCCAUACAUCGAAAAGAAUAUAGUCCUAUUGCAAGUCGAAAUUUACAAUCUAUACCACUUGGAUAUAUAAUUCAAAGGUCUAGAUUUAAUUUUGUGCAUUGAUUGACUCUUUUGUAGGGAUAAGGCUGGGGUAAGGCUACGUACAUCUCAUCCUCCCUAAACCGCACUUGUGGGAAUACACUGAGUUGUUAUUGUUGUCGUUGUUGUUGUUGUUGAUCGACUCUUUUGUAGUUAUAUUCUAUGACAAUUUGGUUUUAUGUCUUCACGUGGUGGUCUAGAAUGGCUUGGAGCGCUCUAAUGCCAGGCUAGAUGUUAUGAUUGCUUUAUAAGCGAGGUAAAACAUGAUAGAUAAUGGUAAGGAAGGGAUAAAUUAGUCACUUCACUUAUUGGAAGUUUUUUAAUGGUGAUUAGUGUCCAGAAGGGGAAAAAAUAAAGGAGCAGAAGUUUGUUAAUCUUGUGCAUUAAUUAGAGAAUGUGUAUAUAGGUAGUUAAGCUAUUCUUUGUUAAAAUGAUAUUUGCAGGGAUUUGGAUGCUGAAGCGGAGGGAUGAAAAUCAGUGUAACCUUAAUUCAAGUAUGAUUAAGGUAAGUGAUCCAUUCUCCUACAUUGUUACGUUUCGUAUCCCUCUCCCACACUCCACUCACUUAUAAGCAUGGGACUUGUUUAUGCAGAAAAAUCACAUCUUCAAGUGAGUUUCGGAUACCGGAUGCAUUAAAAAAAAAUAUUUUCAUUUUUUCCUAAAAAAGCAUUUAAAAUGAAGUCUAUGUGCGAAAUGGGGCUUAAAUAGCAACUGACUCCGCAUCUGGGGUCCGCGCAACGCCACCUCUAAGACGAGCUUCUGCAACCUGAUAUUCCAAAACCUCUCUCGAACACCCCAAAUCUCACCGAGACCCCCGGAAUCCCGUCCAAUCAUUACAAUAAGUUUGUGUAGUAUACCAUAUACAAACUUGUCCAAGAGCUCAAAACAUAUUCGGAAACUUCACAUCUAAGAGUCAAGAUCCAAACCAAAAUAUAAACUUUCUCUUAAGUUCUUCAAGUUUCAAUUUUCACAAGAUAGACCCGAAUCACAUCCAAGCCCUUCGGUUCACCUCUCAACCAUUCCAACAAGUCCAAGAGAGAUUCAUGAUUGUUCAUGGUUCAUUCUUAGCUCUUCAAUGUAAAAUUAAAAUUUCAAAUUGGAGACCGGUUAAAAGUCUUUUCUGGAACAUUGAUUGCACUAUUAACAGCUUUAGGACCUUGACAGUCCCCAUCUAGACUGCCUAUGUGUUUAACCAAAUUUGCACCAUUUUGAACAUGUCCUGCCCCUCCUUGACAAUUCUGCCCAGAAACAGCAACAACUGCAUCAGCACUAACCUUCAAAGCAACAGCUGGGAGUUUGAGUUUCAAUGAACCUGCUGCAUUACCUACUGAUAUUCCUUGAUUAUCAGUAGUUAAAUCCAACACUUGCACAUCUGCUCGAUCACCAACUUCCUUUCGCCCAGCAGUAGCCACAAAACUUUGUUUUCCUCCUUCAUUUUGCAAAAGUUGCUGAUUUUCUACUGUUAAGAAUUUUUUUGGAGAUGGCGGACCAUUUAGCUGGUUGAAUCAUUUAUCCUGCUUCAUGAGCCACUUGUGUUUCUUAAAAAAAGAAAAGGUCCUUAGCUUCUAGAUUGAUUGUGCUAUUUAAGGAUGAACUAUGUGACUUGAGUGAUCAAUUAAGUUAUGAGAAUAAUCGGUCAUAUAUAUCUGAAUCGCUUGUACCGAAGAACAUGAGUGAUCCAUAAUGAAGAUGGGACUGUUCUUUUGCUACGAAAUAAACGAGUAAUUACUUGCCAGUAGUCAAAAUCAGAUACAAUGGCUCCAAGCAAUUACUUGCUAGCUUUAUGCAUUCUCUUGUUCCUUGUAGCAGCCACCAACAUUGCUUAUGCAAACAACAGUUAUGGAAAUGGACCUAAUUUGCUUGUUCCUAAGCCGCAGUAUGUUCAGUUGUUGGUUAUAAUGUUGUUUUUCGUAAUAGCAUAUUCUGUUGUUGUUUUGGUUCAAUAGCUGUCAGACAUAAUAUUGUUUAGAUGGUGUUGUUUUGGUUCAGUAAUUUGUGCUUGAAGCUGCUUUAAGUACUUUAUGACUCAAUUAUCCUAAAAAUUUUGUUUAAUUAUUUCUCAUUGUCUUUUGCAGGUGCAGUGAUUGCGGAUGAAAGCAGUGACGAAGACUUUACUUGAGUGUUGUUGAUCGUUAUUAGACUUUCUAUUAUUAUGUUUAAGGAUAUUUUAGUUUAGAAUUUUUUGUAUGCAAACUCAUCUAUUUUGACUUUUGAAUUGUUGACCAAACAAACAAUGUAUCCAUAUUUUGUUUUUGCACAUGGAUAAUGCUAGUUGGAUAUGGUGUAAACAAUUUCAUAGAAUAGGAAAAUAUUU
rnacentral:lncRNA from 1 species